CACCACACACCACUUGUGGGAUUACACCAGGUUUGUUUGUUGUUGUAAACACAAUUAUGCAGUAAAACUUUUGUUGAUAAGGUAAAUAACUUAUACAGUAUAUAAUCCAAUGAAAUGGAGGGGGGACCUACUCCGUAGCAUAUGGUGACCAGUAACUUAUGGAUUCCCUUAAUCAUCAAGUGCACUUUACACACGGAUGACAAAGUGAAAUCACAGUACAAUUAAAAGCCUUUUGGUCAUAACAUUCACUACAAUUAACAGUAAAAUAUGCAUUCACAUGGAUUCAUAGAUGACCAGAAAGAUAAACCGUUUAUACACUUACAGAUACCACCCCCAUCAAACCACCUCCUUAGCCGGCUUCUUCAGAUCAUCAUCGACAACUUUAGUAGGAAGAAUCACAUAUCCUCCAAAUUUUUUAGGGCUAACGUCAUCAUCGAAAUCAUCGUCGUCGUCGGAAUCCUCCUCAAAAUCAAAAGCGGUGGGCCAGAACAGAGACCAGAUCAGGUACAUCAUGGCAGCAGUUAAAGCGCCACAACCAGCACCGAAAAGCAUAGCUCCCAUGACCCUCAUGAUAUCCUUUGAUCGGUCACGAAUCGAGCUUGUGACGGCCGAGUAAAACUCCAUGGGCUUCGAUACAUCUUCUUCUUCUCUUUCUAUGAGCUGAUUUUCUUCUCUUAGUAGGAAGAAUCACGUAUCCUCCCAACUUUUUAGGGCUAACGUAAUCAUCAAAAUCGUCAUCAUCGUCAGAAUCCUCCUCAAAAUCUAAAGCGGUGGGCCAGAAUAGAGACCAGAUCAGGUACAUCAUGGCAGCAGUUAAAGCGCCACAACCAGCGCCGAAAAGCAUAGCUCCCAUAACCCUCAUGAUAUCCUUUGAUCGGUCACGAAUCGAGCUUGUGACGGCCGAGUAAAACUCCAUGGGCUUCGAUACAUCUUCUUCUUCUCUUUCUAUGAGCUGAUUUUCUUCUUCGCCGCCGCCGAUACGGUCGACGAAAAUAGCGUUGCGACCACCGAGAAACUUGUUGAAUCGGACUUUGUUGUCUCCGUUGAGGGGAUUGGAUGUGGUGAAGAAGAAUGUUAGGAAUCGGCGAGAAUUCAGGGAAGGGUAUUCGAGGGAGAAAUUAGGGUUAGGGUUAGGAUUUGAAGGAUGGGCUGAUGCGGGAAUUGGGUAAUAGGAGGUGGAUGUGAAGAAGAAGAGGGUGUUGCAGGGUCGGGCGGUGGCGGAGACGGCUAGGAGAGAGAGGCCGAGGAGAAGAAGAGGGAGCUUCCAGGUCGCCAUUGACUCGUGAGAAGAGAAAAGCUGUCGAUGAAGAAAAAUGAAAGAGGAAAUGCGAAAAUAUGUGAUUCGGUGUUGGG
rnacentral:lncRNA from 1 species